rnacentral:rRNA from 1 species
AAUUGUUAUUAGGAAAGCACUUAAUCUCAUUGUGGAUUAAAUCAGUCUGUUUCGGCAGAUACUGUUUUAAUUAGUUAUGAUCAGUUAAGGUUGAUAAAGAAAAUUUGUGACAAGGUAUUAGUGUAGUGCUAAACUUACAGGUCACUUAUUAUUUGUCGAUAUUGACUGAGGAAUGCUACUUAAUCUUUUCUGGUUAAUAGUUUAUGGAGUUAAGCUAAACAACAUGUUGAUUAGUUUAAUUAAAGUAAUCUAUUGAUUUUAAAACUUGAGUACAGGAUCAUAAUUAAAUGAUAUUAAAU